rnacentral:rRNA from 1 species
UACAGAGGGUGCGAGCGUUAAUCGGAAUUACUGGGCGUAAAGCGCGCGUAGGCGGCUUUGCAAGUCGGGUGUGAAAUCCCCAGGCUUAACCUGGGAAUGGCAUUGGUGACUGCACGGCUAGAGUGUGUCAGAGGCGAGUGGAAUUCCAGGUGUAGCGGUGAAAUGCGUAGAUAUCUGGAGGAACACCGGUGGCGAAGGCGGCAUCCUGGACCGGCAUUGACGCUGAGGCGCGAAAGCUAGGGGAGCAAACGGG